UGAUAUGAUAUGACGAUGAUGUGGAUGGACCCAGGCGACCCAAUAGCCCUAUGAAAAGACCUGGCUGGGCCAGGCAUUACGAAGUCCUGUGGUGCCCUUCAUGGUGGCCGGGCAAAUAGCUUAGGGAGUUUUGAGGUCAAGUCCAUCCGUUAUGUGUAGUACUUGUGAUGUGAUGCAUUUCAUUAGGCAUAUGUAUUUAAUGUUUUAUGUGAUUCUACUCACUGGGCUCUAGUAGCUCACCCUUCUCCUAACCCCAUGUUUCAGGGCCUCAGAGGAAGUCAAGGUUUCAGCAGGUGUACAGUUGGGUAUAUGUAUAGAAAGUGGACAUGUAUAGUACUUUGAAAAAGAAUGUAAUGAUUAUGUUUAUGUUGUAAAAUUAUGUAAUGAGAACAGAGUUAGAGGAUUGUGCUUAGCCCUAAACUAUGUUGUAAUCCUUUGUACAUGAUCAAGGUUUUAUGAUUCAUGAUGUUUAUCUUUAUGAUAACCCUUGAGCUUGACAUUUUAUGACCCUCUAGAGUAUUUGUUGAGGACUCUAGCAGGGUGUUUAUGUUUACAGAUAUAGUUUAUGUGCAGGUCAAGCUAAGUUAAUGAAAAGUUCAAAAUUUUGAUGGAAUUGUAUGAUCAUGUAUGGGAUUUAUUAGGGACACAGAGUUCAUGUUAGGCUGGCUACGGAUUUCGGCGGCCUUAAGUCGACCUAAAUCCUAGCGCAGGUAAUGGUUCGGAUUUCCGGGCUGUUACAGAUUGGUAUCGGAGUCCUAGGUUCACAUGAUCGGACUUAUAGAGUUUUUGGGCUCAUAGAGGUCAUAGAAGGGCAAGCACAAUAGGCAAAAUCAUGUCCACUAGGAUAGGAUUUGGAGUCCUGUCUUGAUGAUGUUGUGUAAUGCCAUGAUUUUAUCCAUGUGCAUUUAUGCAUGUUAUGAGGAUUCAUGUGUUUUCACAUGGAUCAAGUGAUGCUAAUGUUUUAUGUGAAUGUUAUGUUUUCAGAAGACCUUAUGAGAGGAACUCGUCGAUCAGCUAGAUUGACUGGAGCUCCACCAUAAAAUGAGGGCAUGGACGCCCGUCCCCCUGCUUUGCCAAGGGCAAUGUCGCAGAGGUCAGGAAGGGAAAGAUCAUCAAGGGACCCUAGAAGGUCUUUUGAUGAAAGCAGAAGAGAAGCUGAGCAAGGCAGAAGGUCUAGUGAUGAGAGGGAGCCUAUGAAUGUGGAUCAAAGAAGAGAUGGAGGGUUAGGUGUUGGCAUGUCAGAAGAGGAUGUGGGAUCAUCUCAUGGAGGCGUUCAGGCCUCGGGGUAUGGUUAUCCACCCCAUUUCCAGCCUUUCCCACAAGGCCUUGGAUAUCCCGGUUUUAACCCAUAUCCCACUUAUAUGCCUUAUCCACCUUUCUACCCACCAUACCCCCAGUACCAAAUGUAUCCACCUUCACCCUUCGACCCCAGUCCAGCAUACUCUACACCAGGAAGCUCUACACCUCCCCCACCCCCAGCAGAACUAGUAGCCCUUGUUAUCCCAGUAUCUCAACCUGCCCCACCUGAGAAGAGUAAGGUUAAGAUGACUGAUUACUUGAAAUUGGAUGCUCCUAAGUACCAGACGGGGGAUGAUCCAUUUGAGUACAUCAAAGAAGUGAAAAUGAUAGCAGAUGAAUUGGGAGCAGACAAUACCAGAGCCAUUCAGAUGGCAGGGUUCACUUUAAAGAGUAAGAGAGCUAAGGAGUGGUUUAAUACCUAUGUGGACCCAAGAGUAGAUAACAUGACAUGGGAGGAGUUUGCAAACGAGUUUGCUGGAUGGGCUUUUCCAGAUAGCUCCAGAGAAUUAAAGAUGAUAGAAUUUGAGCAGCUAAGGCAGACUGAAGACAUGAGUGUGGAUGAGUACACUGAGAGGUUCAUGGAUUUGCUGCAGUAUGUGGGUCAGGCCUAUGAUUCAGAUCGUAAGAAGGCCAGGAGGUAUGCUAUGAGGCUCCAUUUCAGAUACUCCUCCUUGAUCCAGGCAGCAGAGAGAGAAAGUUUCCACACAGUUGUGGAUAUUGCUCGAAAAAUGGAGGCCAGUGCCAUCAGUCAGGGAGCAAUCAAACAGCAGGUGGCACAACCUUCAGGUUCAAAAACUCCAGGAAGGGGUAAGGCAGACCCCUCUUCUCAGAAUGUAGCAACUUCUGGGGGUAAGAAGUGGACAGGUUCCAGUAAGAAUCCAAAGAAGAACAAGUUCUGGAAUAAACUGAAGUCAGGUCUGGGACUAGGUAGUGGUUCGAGUUCAGGAGCAGAAGCUUCAGUAUGUGAAAGAUGCGGUAGGCCGCAUAGGGGAGUGUGUCGGGCUGGGACAACAACAUGUUUCAGGUGCGGCCAAGAGGGACAUAUGGCUCGGGAUUAUCCUAGAGCAGCUUUCUCAGCACCGUCCCAUCAGGCAGCUCCAGGCAGUAUGGCUCAGCCGUCAGCUCCAUCCACUACUCAGGGCAGAGGUAGAGGGAGAGGAGCAGCCUCUUCUUCAGGUUCCCGAGGUGCAGGUCCGUCAGCUCCAGCACGGAUUUUCACCAUGACUCAGCAGGAGGCUGACACAUCUAACACCGUGGUGUCAGGUAAAUAAAUAAAUGUUUUAAAUAAAUAAAUGUUUUAGCAUGUUACAUGCAUCACAAAUGCCAUGUCUUAGUAGGUUGUAUUGCAUUAGUGACCACGAAGCUGUUGCAUUGCAUAAUGCGAUGAUAUGAUAUGACGAUGAUGUGGAUGGAUCCAGGCGACCCAAUAGCCCUAUGGAAAGACCUGGCUAGGCCAAGCAUUACGAAGUCCUGUGGUGCCCUUCAUGGUGGCCGGGCAAAUAGCUUAGGGAGUUUUGAGGUCAAGUCCAUCCGUUAUGUGUAGUACUUGUGAUGUGAUGCAUUUCAUUAGGCAUAUGUAUUUAAUGUUUUAUGUGAUUCUACUCACUGGGCU
rnacentral:lncRNA from 1 species